AGAAUCAACGCUGGCGGCGUGCCUAACACAUGCAAGUCGCACGAGAAAGGGACUUCGGUCCUGAGUACAGUGGCGCACGGGUGAGUAACACGUGAAUCAUCUACCUUCGAGUGUGGAAUAACUGAGAGAAAUCUUAGCUAAUACCUCAUAAUACCUACGGGUCAAAGCAGCAAUGCGCUUGAAGAGGAGUUCGCGGCAGAUUAGUUAGUUGGCGGGGUAAUGGCCCACCAAGACGAUGAUCUGUAUCCGGCCCUGAGAGGGCGCGACGGAACGACACUGGAACGUGAAACACGGUCCAGACUCCUACGGGAGGCAGCAGUGGGAAUUUUGCGCAAUGGGGAAACCCUGACGCAGCAACGCCGCGUGGAGGAUGAAAUCCCUUGGGAUGUAAACUCCUUUGAUAGGGAAGAUAAAUGACGGUACCUAUAGAAGAAGCCCGGCUAACUCGUGCCAGCAGCCGC
rnacentral:rRNA from 1 species